UACGGAGGGGGCAAGCGUUGUUCGGAAUUACUGGGCGUAAAGAGCGCGCAGGCGGUCGUUCAAGUCGCGUGUGAAAGCCCCCGGCUCAACUGGGGAGGGUCACGCGAUACUGAUCGACUGGAAGGCAGGAGAGGGUAGUGGAAUUCCCGGUGUAGUGGUGAAAUGCGUAGAGAUGUGGAGGAACACCGAUGGCGAAGGCAGCCCCCUGGGCUGAGAUUGACGCUCAGGCACGAAAGCGUGGGGAGCAAACAGGG
rnacentral:rRNA from 1 species